rnacentral:ncRNA from 2 species
GGAGGAACCUCUGGAGAGAGCCGCACUACUUUUUUGUAGCAAUCGGCCGCCGAAGGAGCAAGCUACGUAUGUGGGUGAAACUCUCAGGCAAAAGGACAGAGGAGUGAAA